rnacentral:lncRNA from 1 species
ACCUUGCACGAGAGAGAAAACAACUAUUGUAUUUGAAAAUAUGAGAUAGCGUAAAAAAUAAUACACGAGCUCGGGCCCUAUUUAUAGAUUUACAAGCAGAGGGGUAAAAUAGUAAAAACAUCUUCGGUGCAUGCGUCCUGCGUGGUGGAAGGGUACGCUGGUAAUUUCGAUAAUACGCGGGAGACCUUCCCGCGCGUUUAUUGGCUCCUCUG